rnacentral:rRNA from 1 species
UACAGAGGGUGCGAGCGUUAAUCGGAUUUACUGGGCGUAAAGCGUGCGUAGGCGGCUGAUUAAGUCGGAUGUGAAAUCCCUGAGCUUAACUUAGGAAUUGCAUUCGAUACUGGUCAGCUAGAGUAUGGGAGAGGAUGGUAGAAUUCCAGGUGUAGCGGUGAAAUGCGUAGAGAUCUGGAGGAAUACCGAUGGCGAAGGCAGCCAUCUGGCCUAAUACUGACGCUGAGGUACGAAAGCAUGGGGAGCAAACAGGAUUAGAUACCCUGGUAGUCCAUGCCGUAAACGAUGUCUACUAGCCGUUGGGGCCUUUGAGGCUUUAGUGGCGCAGCUAACGCGAUAAGUAGACCGCCUGGGGAGUACGGUCGCAAGACUA